AGAUGUUGAAAACACACUGGAGCUUUUAAAAUACACAACCAGACACAGAGCAAGGUCAGCCCAGAGGAAAAGGAAGGUCAGCCCAGAGGAAAAGGAAGGUCAGCCCAGAGGAAGAGGAAGGUCAGCCCAGAGGAAAAGGAAGGUCAGCCCAGAGGAAAAGGAAGAGGAAGUUCAGCCUGGAGGAAGAGGAAGGUCAGCCUGGAGGAAGAGGAAGGUCAGCCCAGAGGAAAAGGGAGCGGAGAGGAAGGUCAGCCUAGAGGAAAAGGGAGAGGAAGUUCAGCCUGGAGGAAGAGGAAGGUCAGCCUGGAGGAAGAGGAAGGUCAGCCUGGAGGAAAAGGGAGAGGAAGUUCAGCCUGGAGGAAGAGGAAGGUCAGCCUGGAGGAAGAGGAAGGUCAGCCUAGAGGAAAAGGGAGAGGAAGGUCAGCCUAGAGGAAAAGGGAGAGGAAGUUCAGCCUGGAGGAAGAGGAAGGUCAGCCUGGAGGAAGAGGAAGGUCAGCCUGGAGGAAGAGGAAGGUCAGCCUGGAGGAAGAGGAAGGUCAGCCUGGAGGAAGAGGAAGG